UAUAUCAAAUUUGCAGACCGUAUUAAAUUUUAUUUUUACUGAAAGGAACUUUUUGUCUCUUUUAUCAGGAGGAAAAUUAAGCUGCGAACUGGAAUUCCAUCAGGCUGUCUGCUGCGAAGCCCUGCGGCUUUAGCAAACAGGCAGCAGUGGUCAGAAAUGACGCUCAAAAGAAAGUGACAUGCAAUUCAUAGAGGACUUCCAGCUCCUGUGAAAGAAGAAGAUGCUUUUGUUCUGCACAAUCUUCGCAUCUAAAGAGAAAUUGACUGUGGUCAAAAGGGCCAUUCAGCCAAUUAGCGCAGUUCUACCUUCAAAUCUCCAAGCUUCUGACCCAGAGCUUUCAAGCGGCUGAUGAAGAUAUCAUAAAGCGGUUGCGCUGAUCCCAUAUUAAAGGCAGCCAACUGGAGAAAAAGAAAGGGGAAAAAAAAAACACCCAACCCAAACA
rnacentral:lncRNA from 1 species